rnacentral:lncRNA from 1 species
GCGCUUGUACGAUUACACCAUUCAACAUUAAUAUGAGCUUCGUACUUCUUUAGGAGCUUAAUGUUAUGAGGCACAACGAAAGUAUUGUUUAGGAUCACCCCAUCCUUUACCACAUACGCAUUUUCAUUUCGGCGGCGACGAUAUAAUACAUACCCUGAUUUAUCAAUCGAAUUAUUGUCAUUAUACUGGCGAGGAUACUUUUUCGUGUACACGUUGUUCUCCAUACAUGGUGACUUCAGAUUAAUGACACCACAUGGACCAUGGAUCAUG